rnacentral:tRNA from 1 species
GUGCACUUAGCUCAAUGGUUAGAGCACCCAUCUAGAGUUUGGGGUAAAAUAAGUCAUGGGUUUGAAUCCCUUAGUGCAGA